rnacentral:lncRNA from 1 species
GCAGUGGCUCUAUCUCAGCUCAUUGCAACCUCUGCCUCCCAAGUUCAAGUGAUUCUUCUGCCUCAGCCUCCCGAGUAGCUGGGAUUACACGACCACCAUGCCCAGUAAAUGGCAUGGGGAAAAUCUGAUUGCCACAGACAGAAGAAUGAAACUGGAUGCCUAUUUCUCACAAUACACAAAAGCGAUUCAAGAUUAAAGACUUAACUAUACCUUGACUAUGAAUAAUAGUUUCAAUAAGGAAGACAGAAUGAGUUCUGACACGAUGGUUGGGAGCUGUGACAGGCAGACGAAAAAUGGAGCCAAAUGGCAUGGAGGUGUGUCAUCACUGCUGGAUUUUACCUUGAUCUACAUUCAGUUAUCUACUUCUUUUCAAAAUGCUGGGCAUUCAUUCAAGAAACAGCAUAUAUGUUCUGACUUUGAAGUAAUGGAUGAACUGUCAUGUGCAGUAUAUGGAAAUAAGUUUUAUUACCUUCUUCCCACAUUAACUCAUCCAUCCAUUCAAUAGCCAUUUAUUGAGAAGCUCACUCUGUGUUAGGCACAGUGGUGUCAUGAUGUUGGAACAGUAACAAUAACUCAACCAACCAGGGCUUGUCUGAAUACAAUCCUACAGCAGCAGGAGCUGUGGAGAUAUAGAAGGCAAGGAAGACCAGGUUGUGAGGGAAGACGAAUUUACUCCCAGGAAUGUUGGGAUUGAGAGUAAUAUUCUCCAAUAAUGGUGGAAGACAGAACAAUAAAAGCCCACCAGCUCCUUCUGCAUGGUGGGAUAAGAGAAAAGCCAAGGGCAGAAGUGAGAAAAAUAACCAUCACCAAACUGAAAAGAAAACCUUUAUAAAAAAACUGGAUUGAUAAAUGACCUUUAGUAGUGGAAAGAUACCAUUCCAAUGAAGCAUGAAUUGAAAGGAUUUCUUCUGAAAGCUAAUUUACAUUUUUCUUUUUUUUUUUUUCAUUUUCAGUGUGUUUUAGCAGGUGUAUUGUUCUACAUGGUUAGUUUCUUUACCUCUUUGAGAAAAAUGGGUCAGCUUGACACAUCUGGAUGAAAGAAUCCGUUAGGUGAUUAUGAUUGAAGACAGAUUAAGCCUUGUUAUGAGGGGAAUAUUUGGGGGCUUACCCUGAGGUGAUAUUUGAUGAUUUAGCUGUGGGAGAAUUUCCCUCCCAAGAUCAGCGUGACUGACACUGAAAUUGCUACAGGGGAACCGGACCUUUCCAAGAGGUGACAAGGACAUUUACCUGGUACAACACAAUGGUUCUGGACUGGAAGUCUAGUCCCAUUGAUGAAGUUCCCAAAAGAUGUCCAGGUCCUAAUCCCUGGAAUCUGUGAAUAUGUCAUCUUACACAUCAAAAGAACUUUGAAAAUGUGAUUGAGGUUAAGGACCUUGGAAUGAGGAGAUUACCUUGGAUUAUCUGGUUGGGUCCAAGCUAAUCACAUGAGUCCUUAAAGGAGAAGAACCUUUUUUAGCUGGGUCAGAGAGAGAUGUGAUGAUGAAAACAGGCUCAGGGAGAUGCACUGUAAGAAGGGCUUGACCAGUUGUUUUUGACUUUGAAGAUGGAGGGAAGGGCCAGGAGCCAAGGAAGGUGGGUGGCUUUUGGAAGGUGGAAAAAGCAAGGGAACAUUCUCUCCAGAGCCUCCAGAAAGGAGCUCAGCCCUGUUGACAUCUUUGUUUUUAUUUUUUAUUUUUAGUAGCAUUGAGGUCUCACUAUGUUGCACAGGCUGGUCUUGAACUCUUGAGCUCAAGCACUCCUCCCGCCUUGGCUUCCCAAAGUGCUGGGAUUAUAGGCAUGUGCCACCACAUCUGGCUUCCUACUGACAUCUUAACUUUAGUGCAGUGAGACUCAUAUUUGAAUUUCUGACCUUAUAUUAUAGAACCAUAAGACAUUAUAGAAUUAUAUAGAAUUAUAGAACCAUAAGACAAUAACUUUGUGUUGUUUUAAGAUACUAAAUUUUUGGUAAUUUGUUAUGGCAGCACAAUAAAACCAAUAUAGCAUUAUAUUAUGCCAAUAUCAUCUCUUUGUUGACUAUUGCUAUUAUAGUUUGUUUUAUGGGUCUUGUGUAAACAAUCAAGCUAUAAUAUUGGGUUAACUCCCUAAGGAAAACUUGGAAUAUAGAACAUUAUUUUAAAGACUGAAUUAGGUAAAUACACCUGCCAGUGAAUACAUUAACAAAUUAAUUAAUAUAUUCACUCUUUUCACUCACAAAUACUUUUUGAGCCCCUAUUACUAGCCAAACAUUUUGUUAGAUUCUGAGAAGGGUCUGCUAGACAACAUUGUGACUAUAGUUAAUAACAAUAUAUUGUACUCUUGAAAAUUACUAAGAGAGUAGAUUUUAAGUGUUCUCACCACAAAAAAUAAGUAUGUGAGGUAAUGCAGAUGUUAGUUAGCUUGAUUUAGCCAUUCCCCAGUGUAUACAUAUUUCAAACCUUCAUAUUAUACAUGGAUAAAUAUAUACAAUUUUUAUUUGUCAAUUAAAAGCCCCUCGAUGAAUACAGUUUCCAUUCUGUCCUUGAGGUGGAGCUUGUAGACUUGGUGGGGUCCGGGGAUCAACUUUUAAACAGGCAGUUCCAAAGUGUGGAGUGGAUAGGCUUAUUCUCUUUGUUGCUUUUAUGAUAGGUAUUUAGAAUGCACUUUCCUCUGUUAAGUUAAGCCAGCCACCAUUCCCUCAUUCAGUUUCCAUCCUCCAUGAAUUUGCUCACAUCUGCGGUCUACUGUCACUCAUUCUUUCCUUCUCUUCCUGAGGGCUUGUGUGACUUAUGUUCUUGGCUUUCUCUUAGGAACAUGGUGCAGCUUGGCCCUGCAUUAUCCAUCUGGAAAAACAGAUCAUAAAACAGUCCUUCUCUGUACUAAGUGCUAAAGUAGGAGGAAGGGCAUAAGUCAGCUCCCUGAGCUAUAUAUCCUUGUUUUCAGGAGCUGAGCUAGACACAAGCAGAACUUGCAAAUAAUUUACAUUUCUUUCUGCUGAGGUGGUUCAGAAUAAGUUGCAACAAACAUGAACAGGAAUGGUGCAGUAAAU